GGGGUGCUGGAGUGAAGAGCACAGCGAGACAUGGAUGCUGCUGGAAACACAGGAAGGCUACUCUACAAAAUUUACAGGGCGCUUACCUACGGUUUAACACCGUUAGUGCACCUUCACCUACGGUGGCGCCGUCGCCGAGGCCUCGAGCACCCGACCCGUUGGCCUGAGAGAUUGGGCCGCCCCUCACUCCCUCGCCCCUCUGGUCCUCUUCUCUGGUUUCACGCUGUCUCCUUAGGUGAAGGAAUGGCGGCGAUCCCUGUCAUUAAACGGUUUGUUCAAUGCAGGCCUGAUUUAAACAUCUUGAUGACAACUACAACCUUGUCUGCUUUUGAAGUCAUAAAGAAUCAGCUUCCAAGUAGUGUUUUAUACCAGUUUUCCCCACUUGAUACCCCUACUGCUGUGGACACUUUCCUUGAUUAUUGGAAGCCAAAUGCAAUCAUG
rnacentral:misc_RNA from 1 species